CAGGCCUAACACAUGCAAGUCGAACGGUAACAGGAAGCAGCUUGCUGCUUUGCUGACGAGUGGCGGACGGGUGAGUAAUGUCUGGGAAACUGCCUGAUGGAGGGGGAUAACUACUGGAAAUGGUAGCUAAUACCGCAUAACGUCGCAAGACCAAAGAGGGGGACCUUCGGGCCUCUUGCCAUCGGAUGUGCCCAGAUGGGAUUAGCUAGUAGGUGGGGUAACGGCUCACCUAGGCGACGAU
rnacentral:rRNA from 1 species